GGCCUGCCGUUUGCAACUGCACCCCUGCAGGCAGUCAACGCCGAUUGCCAUCUUCACGACAAAGGCGCCGU
rnacentral:ncRNA from 1 species